CCUACGGGAGGCAGCAGUCGAGAAUCAUUCACAAUGGGGGAAACCCUGAUGGUGCGACGCCGCGUGGGGGAAUGAAGGUCUUCGGAUUGUAAACCCCUGUCAUGUGGGAGCAAAUUAAAAAGAUAGUACCACAAGAGGAAGAGACGGCUAACUCUGGGCCAGCAGCCGCGGUAAUACAGAGGUCUCAAGCGUGGUUCGGAAUCACUGGGCGUAAAGCGUGCGUAGGCUGUUUCGUAAGUCGUGUGUGAAAGGCGCGGGCUCAACCCGCGGACGGCACAUGAUACUGCGAGACUAGAGUAAGGGAGGGGGAACCGGAAUUCUCGGUGUAGCAGUGAAAUGCGUAGAUAUCGAGAGGAACACUCGUGGCGAAGGCGGGUUCCUGGACAUUAACUGACGCUGAGGCACGAAGGCCAGGGGAGCGAAAGGGAUUAGAUACCCGAGUAGUC
rnacentral:rRNA from 1 species